GACGAACGCUGGCGGCGUGCUUAACACAUGCAAGUCGAACGGAAAGGCCCUGCUUUUGUGGGGUGCUCGAGUGGCGAACGGGUGAGUAACACGUGAGUAACCUGCCCUUGACGUUGGGAUAACUUCAGGAAACUGGGGCUAAUACCGGAUAGGAGCUCCGGCUGCAUGGUGGGGUUUGGAAAGUUUCGGCGGUUGGGGAUGGACUCGCGGCUUAUCAGCGUGGUGGUGGGGUAGUGGCUUACCAAGGCUUUGACGGGUAGCCGGCCUGAGAGGGUGACCGGCCACAUUCGGACUGAGAUACGGCCCAGACUCCUACGGGAGGCAGCAGUGGGGAAUAUUGCACAAUGGGCGGAAGCCUGAUGCAGCAACGCCGCGUGCGGGAUGACGGCCUUCGGGUUGUAAACCGCUUUCGCCUGUGACGAAGCGUGAGUGACGGUAAUGGGUAAAGAAGCACCGGCUAACUACGUG
rnacentral:rRNA from 1 species